CUUUCUUCAUUUCUAGCAGAGCAGGUUUUUUCAGUUUUUGCUCUCCAUUCCCAUUUUUUUUACAUUAGUACCGUGGUGUGGCCAUCCUUCAAUAUGACCCAGGGAAAUGGUCAGUCCCAUGUAGGUGGAUAUGCAAGUCCUGGAGGGGCAGUCUAUAGACACUUACUGUUCCUUGAAAGGACAUGAAUAUUCAGAAAAAGCCAUGUUUCAGAAAGUGGAAGAGAGAUUUUUUCUGCUAGGAAGGCCAUUUCUUCCCAAUUAAAUGGGAAAUGAGCAGCAGAUUGUGGACAGGACACUUUCCUAUUCCAGCCCCAAACAUGGGAAAACUCACUGGAGUACAGGAAUUCUCGUUAUCCUUACAACUCCAGUCUGGGGGUUUGACCAAUCUUCUUUGCUUUCCCCUUCUGCCCUCAUCUACAACUGACCUGUGCUUUCCUCCUGGCAGCCUUCACCCAUGAAGAGUCAGCUGUGCCACACACUGGGACACCUGUGACCACACACAAGACCAGCACAGCCACCUCCAUCAGCAGCACCUCCAAGACCUCUGUCUCCACAGGGCCCAGCCCAGCAAGCAGCACAGGAGCCCCUCUGGAAACAACCUCUGCCCAUGCCAGCUCUCCACCUGCCCCCAGCAGCCCGCUCAGCACAAGGCUGCCAUCCACUGCCACCACUUCCACUGGCUCCUCCACAGCAGCUGCCAGCACCAGCCCCAGGCCUACACCUACAACCCUGAGGCCCAGGCCCUCUUCCCCAGCAACCCAAGCUGCAAAGGAGUCUCCUGUAACAGAGUCCUCUGCACCCACCACAGCCAAAACCAGCACUCUGCCACAACCUGCUUCUUCUCCCUCCUCAACUGUGUCCUCAACAUGGCUCAGCUCCUCACAGCCUGUAUCCACCCACAAAGUGCCACAUGCUGAGACAGCUGUAACCACAGAGAAGACCACGGCCACCACCUCCAUCAGCAGCACCUCCAAGACCUCUGUCUCCACAGGGCCCAGCCCAGCAAGCAGCACAGGAGCCCCUCUGGAAACAACCUCUGCCCAUGCCAGCUCUCCACCUGCCCCCAGCAGCCCGCUCAGCACAAGGCUGCCAUCCACUGCCACCACUUCCACUGGCUCCUCCACAGCAGCUGCCAGCACCAGCCCCAGGCCUACACCUACAACCCUGAGGCCCAGGCCCUCUUCCCCAGCAACCCAAGCUGCAAAGGAGUCUCCUGUAACAGAGUCCUCUGCACCCACCACAGCCAAAACCAGCACUCUGCCACAACCUGCUUCUUCUCCCUCCUCAACUGUGUCCUCAACAUGGCUCAGCUCCUCACAGCCUGGUAAGGCUCCCUCCUACCCAUCCUGGUGCUUCCCCUUGUGUCCCUUUUCCUUUCUUCAUUUCUAGCAGAGCAGGUUUUUUCAGUUUUUGCUCUCCAUUCCCAUUUUUUUUACAUUAGUACCGUGGUGUGGCCAUCCUUCAAUAUGACCCAGGGAAAUGGUCAGUCCCAUGUAGGUGGAUAUGCAAGUCCUGGAGGGGCAGUCUAUAGACACUUACUGUUCCUUGAAAGGACAUGAAUAUUCAGAAAAAGCCAUGUUUCAGAAAGUGGAAGAGAGAUUUUUUCUGCUAGGAAGGCCAUUUCUUCCCAAUUAAAUGGGAAAUGAGCAGCAGAUUGUGGACAGGACACUUUCCUAUUCCAGCCCCAAACAUGGGAAAACUCACUGGAGUACAGGAAUUCUCGUUAUCCUUACAACUCCAGUCUGGGGGUUUGACCAAUCUUCUUUGCUUUCCCCUUCUGCCCUCAUCUACAACUGACCUGUGCUUUCCUCCUGGCAGCCUUCACCCAUGAAGAGUCAGCUGUGCCACACACUGGGACACCUGUGACCACACACAAGACCAGCACAGCCACCUCCAUCAGCAGCACCUCCAAGACCUCUGUCUCCACAGGGCCCAGCCCAGCAAGCAGCACAGGAGCCCCUCUGGAAACAACCUCUGCCCAUGCCAGCUCUCCACCUGCCCCCAGCAGCCCGCUCAGCACAAGGCUGCCAUCCACUGCCACCACUUCCACUGGCUCCUCCACAGCAGCUGCCAGCACCAGCCCCAGGCCUACACCUACAACCCUGAGGCCCAGGCCCUCUUCCCCAGCAACCCAAGCUGCAAAGGAGUCUCCUGUAACAGAGUCCUCUGCAUCCACCACAGCCAAAACCAGCACGCUGCCACAACCUGCUUCUUCUCCCUCCUCAACUGUGUCCUCAACAUGGCUCAGCUCCUCACAGCCUGGUAAGGCUCUCUCCUGUGCAUCCCGCUAGUUCUCCUUGUGUGCCUUUUCCUUUCUUCAUUUCUAGCAGAGGAGGUUUUUUCAGUUCUUGCUCUCCAUUCCCAUAAGCUCUGCCUGCUCCCUGAAGUGAUAUAUGCAUCUCCACAAAGAUGUUAUUUCCAGGAAAAGGUGGUUGGAUCUUGACUUUUGGAAGGCACACUGUCCAUGUCCUCCCUUUUCUGAAAGAAUCCAGACAGCUGCUUGGAGACAGGACCCACAGGAAAAUGUUCCCUUUUUCCCAGGAACACUCAGUGCAGCACUCAGUGCUGUUUUUAAUUAUGUUACCUGUCUAACUCCUCUGACUAUACACAUUUCAUUUUUCACUUGUCCUCAUUCUCAAAUGAGCUCUGCUUCCUUCCUGGCAGCCUUCACCCACGAAGUGCCACAUGCUGAGACAGCUGUAACCACAGAGAAGACCACGGCCACCACCUCCAUCAGCAGCACCUCCAAGACCUCUGUCUCCACAGGGCCCAGCCCAGCAAGCAGCACAGGAGCCCCUCUGGAAACAGCACCCCCCCCCCCCCCCCCCCCCCCCCCCCCCCCCCCCCCCCCCCCCCCCCCCCCCCCCCCCCCCCC
rnacentral:lncRNA from 1 species